GGGAGAAGCGGAGUGCUCGGUGAAGAGCACUGAUGACUGCGGCACAAGCCAGUCAAGGACAAAUUUGGAAAAGCCUGGAAAGGCGGCGGGGGAGAAUCAAAGUGUCCUCGGUCACAGGCUGAUCUCGAAGUCGGAUUGUUGGGUCAGAAGACGUGAACGUGCUGUAAGACUCUUAAUGUCUUGUCACGUCAGUGGCCUGCAGUCCGUGGUCCUUGUGUCUGGCUGUGCUCCUUGGCGUCCUCGUGGUGUGGGUGUGUCUGUAGCUGGGCCUUUAUGUUGCUGAGGCAGCUGCGUUGUGUGGCUCUUCCAGGCGUUUUAUUCCUUUGCCAG